rnacentral:rRNA from 1 species
CUGCCUGCCCAGUGACAUUAGUUUAACGGCCGCGGUAUCAUGACCGUGCAAAGGUAGCGUAAUCACUUGUCUUUUAAAUAAAGACCCGUAUGAAUGGCAAAACGAAAGUUUAUCUGUCUCCCUAAAUUAAUCAGUGAAAUUGAUUUUUCCGUGCAGAAGCGGAAAUAAUAUUAUAAGACGAGAAGACCCUAUGGAGCUUUAAAUAUAAAUCAACUGUUUUAACUUACACUCCCAAGGGAAAAGUAUAAUAAAACUUCAUGAUAAAAUUUUUAGGUUGGGGCGACCACGGAAAAAAACUAAACUUCCGAGAUGAAAUACUAAUAAAAGAAUAACAAUUCUAAUAAAUAAAACAUUUAACAUAAUUGAUCCAAUAUUUGAUCAACGAACCAAGUUACCCUAGGGAUAACAGCGCAAUCCUUUCUAAGAGUCCUUAUCGACGAAAGGGUUUACGACCUCGAUGUUGGAUCAGGACACCCAAAUGGUGUAGCCGCUAUUAAAGGUUCGUUUGUUCAACGAUUAAA